rnacentral:rRNA from 1 species
GACGAACGCUGGCGGCGUGCUUAACACAUGCAAGUCGAACGGUAAGGCCCUUCGGGGUACACGAGUGGCGAACGGGUGAGUAACACGUGGGUGAUCUGCCCUGCACUUCGGGAUAAGCCAGGGAAACUGGGUCUAAUACCGGAUAGGACCACUGCCUACAUGGGUGGUGGUGGCAAGCUUUUGCGGUGUGGGAUGGGCCCGCGGCCUAUCAGCUUGUUGGUGGGGGGAUGGCCUGCCAAGGCGACGACGGGUAGCCGGCCUGAGGGGGUGACCGGCCACACUGGGACUGAGAUACGGCCCAGACUCCUACGGGAGGCAGCAGUGGGGAAUAUUGCACAAUGGGCGCAAGCCUGAUGCAGCGACGCCGCGUGAGGGAUGACGGCCUUCGGGUUGUAAACCGCCUUCAGCACCGACGAAGCGCAAGUGACGGUAGGUGCAGAAGAAGGACCGGCCAACUACGUGCCAGCCGCCGCCGUAA